CGAGAACGAAGAGAGAGCUUUCUUCAAGAUCUUUGGCAAACGAAUCCACAGUUAUAAGGAUGUAUGGUUUUGCAUGUUACAUGGAGGACAACCAAAGAAAAUGUUUGGUUCUCCCAAAAAAAAAUAUAAAGAAUGGAUAACAGACUUUAACUAUCCAUUGGGCUUUGUGAAAAUGCGGACAACGAAUGGGCAGGUCUUUGAAGUGAAGGUAUAUGAGUUAGCAAACUUCUGUUAUUUUUACAAUGGGUGGUAUUCUGUUGUUGAAACUUUGAAGCUACAAUCUGGAUCCUGGCUGGUAUUUCAGUAUGAAGAAGCAUUAUCAAGUUUCCGAAUAUUUUAUUUCUAUGACAAUAUUGAAUUUGCUCCAUCUGAUUAU